rnacentral:rRNA from 1 species
GAUGAACGCUGGCGGCGUGCUUAACACAUGCAAGUCACGGGGGCCCGAAGCGCAAGCUUUGGGUAACCGGCGAACGGGUGCGUAACACGUGAGCAACCUACCUAAGUGAGGGGGAUAGCCGGGCCAACGCCCGGGUAAUACCGCAUACGCUCAAUUUGAGGCAUUUUGAAUUGAGGAAACCUACGGGGCACUAUGAGGGGCUCGCGGCCUAUCAGCUAGUUGGUGAGGUAACGGCUCACCAAGGCGACGACGGGUAGCUGGUCUGAGAGGAUGGCCAGCCACAUUGGGACCGAGAUACGGCCCAGACUCCUACGGGAGGCAGCAGUGGGGAAUCUUGCGCAAUGGCCUAACGGCUGACGCAGCGACGCCGCGUGAGGGAUGACGCUCUUCGGAGUGUAAACCUCUUUUGUCUGAGACGAACUGUCAGCAUUUG